UUACUUCUGAGCCUUCGUAGCAUCGUUCCUAAGGUCAGUAGGUCCGCUGUGACUACGUGAUCUUGACAAUAGCUAGAAGAGAGGGUUGAAGGUUAUUUUGGGACUUAGAUCGAAUUUCUUGGAUAGUUUUUGAAUUGGCCCCCAUUCACCCUCCUUUGAUUGCUGUCAACCAUACAUUCCCGGGCCCACCAGAAGACCUGUACGGACCCACUCAAGGGGACGUACUCGAGACAUAUCAG
rnacentral:lncRNA from 1 species